rnacentral:rRNA from 1 species
GUGGAGAAGCCCAACCCACCAACCCCUCAAAAAAAAAAAAAUCCUAACUCUGCAACUGCAACUCACCUUGCUCGUCCCCGUUGCCGGCGGCAGCGUCGCCGCCGCGACCGUAUCCCUUCGCCGGCGGGGCGCGAGGCCCUGAUCUUUCCCUCCGCGCCGAAGACGUGCGGCCUGGCCGUGCCACCGCGUUCUCGGGAGUUUGGAUCUUGGUUGUCCUCGUAGCCGCCCCCGCAUCCCUAUUGCUCGUGCAGUCGUGCUCCUCCGAAUUCGCCGGCUGCCGGUGUCCCGGCUCGGCCACAGCCCGCAGGACCAUGGUACAAGAACAGAAAGGAGAAACAUCCAGUGGCAUGUAUACUUACAAGCAUCAUGGUGACAAGGGAGUUGAUAUCCAUGAGAUUUUCGUUAAGAAGAGCAGAACCCGUGUUCUGCUGUCAUACUGUGGCCUCAUUUUACUUCUAGCAAUUGUCUGCCGAUCAUUGCUGGGAAAGGAAAAGUUGUGUCUUCAGUCAGUGUGGAGUGUUACCUUUGGAAUUCUGGUUGCGAAAUGUUUGCAAUACAAACCAGUGAAGAAAGAGUCGGUAGUGAUAAUGCCAUCUUUUGGGGUUCAGCUAGAAAUACAUUUUUGGAGCGGAAGAGUUGACCGUCAUUUUGUGCCAAUUGGCAAGAUUCUAAAGCCACUGCUGAACGAGUGUGUGACACCUGUGACCUGUUACUGGAGCUUGGCGUCGCUUCUGCGUGAUGAGGAGGAGCUCAAGCUAGUUUUCCAGAAAUUCCGCCCACCUGUCAAAAUGUUGGUCCCUAUCUGGAGAGCUCUCUGCGCAUUCACAGAUUCUGAAUGCACAAGCCGGCAUUCUGCAGUUUCUAAACCGAACCGUUCAGAAGCGUGACUCUGUUGGCGAUCUGGUGUGAUUGCGACGGUCGGCAAAGGGGAUGCAGUUGAGCUUAGAUGCCAAACUGAGCUAGAGGCCACCAUGGGAUCUACGCCAUCAACCUUUUGGUUUUCAAAUCUUGACCAGUGGUAUAGUUAGAAGUAUUUGGUUGUCUAUAUGAAAACGAUUGCUGGAUUCUUUUUUAUUAUAAGCCAUGGUUUUGUUUGCUGAGAUUUUUUCGUAAUAAUAUGUUUCUUUUUCUGAUUAGUUUU